AAGAAAAGCCCAUCUAACAAGAGAGAAACAUACAAAUUCAUUUACGUUUUCUCUGUCAUGGAGGCCUCAGAAAAGAAGUCCCCCCAACACAGGGAAAGAUUGCAGCUGACUGAUUCACUGUUGGAUUGAUGGAGACACCAAAAUGAAUUAGAUCACAUCAUUUGGAUUCUUGUAGCUUGGAAAUUGAAUGAUCUUAUAAUGAAGAAUCUGAAUUUCAAAAAGACUCCCGGAAGGCGAGCACAGGUGUGGGGGUGUGGAAGGCACCUGGUCACAACCUGUGUCCUCGUGGCAUCCAUGCUGCCGAUGCGAAGAUGCUAAGCCAUAAAUAUACAUCGCUCAGGUCUCUGCUGGGUGCCAAGCUGCUCAGUGACACAGCAGCUUCGUCUCUCCAUCCACCCCAAGCACUGAAGCUACGUGUCCCACGCAGCCCCAAAAGAAUGAGCAAACACCCUGGGGGAAGGAAGGGAGGGCUGUUUCAGCACCAGUGGGAUUCUCACAGCAGAAGACCUGGGCUUAAGGACCCCCCAUCUGCUGGCCAGACUCUCCUUGGAGCCACAGAACAGUCCAGCCAUCCAAAUGUUUAAGCAUCCCUCUCCUCACCAGGUGCCCCCCAGCUCUGCCCCUCCUUCUGUACCCUUCUCCACAACUUCCUGCACCUCAAUCUCAUCCUGGUGUCUGCAUCUCAGCUCACCUGAACUAAGGCUGGAGGCAAGACCCCUCUUCUUAAGCCAUUAAAUGAGAAUGAACGCCUAGGUGCGGUGGCUGAGGUUGUGUUGACUUCGCUGGCCAUGGUGCACAGUAGUAUCAAAUGCCAGUCCAGAGGUUGCUGCAGAUGUAUGUUUUAGAUGUGGUCAACAUUUAAGUUAGCAGACUUUGUUUGAGUCAAGCAGAUUACUUGUCCUAAUGUAGAUGGGCCUUAUCCAAGCAGGGGCUUCCAUUUCUAAACAGGUCCUUACAGGAAUCUCUGCAGGAGAAUUUGCUGGAAGCUUCAGGAGCUCUUCUCAGAGUGCAGCUCAAUGUGACAGGUUGUUUUUUUAAAUUACAUCCCAGGUUUGCAAAUCCAAAAUGGAUCCUUAAAAGGUUUAUAUCAGAAUAAAACAUGCUUAAAGAAGCAAUUGCUUAAAUUUGGGAACACAUUUGCUAAUUUGGAUGGUAAAGGAUGAGGAACACAGGCUCUUCUGGAACAUAAAGUGUGUGAUAUAUGUUCUUCCCAGAAGUCAUGACAGGAUGAACCUGGAAAGUGUCUUCACAGUUAAGGAAUAUUUUUUUUCUGAACUAAUUAUAAUAUUUGUGAUAAAUGAUUUAUGCAAUUUCAUAAUUUCUUUUGGCCUCCAAAACACAAUCUCAAACACAUGAACAAGAACAAAAAGACUAGAAGGAAACAUAUAACAAAAUAUAACAUUGAUAAUUAUAGUCAGGCUGAGGCUACAGCUCAGUGUUAGAACAUUUGCUUAGCAGCCACCGAGCCCUGUGUUCAACCCCC